UCAUGUGACGGCUGCGGCCUUGUUGCAUAUGGCCUUCUAUUCUCUCCUUGUGAUUAGAUGUGCAUGGAUCGGAUCCUUGGGGUGACGUGCACGUUUAGUCGUCAAGUAAUGAACCCCGGCGCAAGCUGUGCCAAGGAAAAUUGAACAAGAGUGCAUGUCUUCAACCACCUGUUUGCGGGAAGUGUUGGCAUAUGCAAUCUUUUGUAUAAUUGAACGACUCUCGGCAACGGAUAUCUCGGCUCUUGCAUCGAUGAAGAACGUAGCGAAAUGCGAUACUUGGUGUGAAUUGCAGAAUCCCGUGAACCAUCGAGUCUUUGAACGCAAGUUGCGCCUGAAGCCAGUAGGCUGAAGGCACGUCUGCUUGGGCGUCAUGAAUUGUGUUACCCGCUCCCCUGUGCCUAAGCGUGCAUGUUGGGAUGKGGGAGRAUGUUGGCCCCCCGUUCGCUCUUGGUGGUCGGUUGGCCCAAAAGGGAGUUCCCCGAUGACGGACAUCACGACAAGUGGUGKUUGCAGAAAUCGUCGCUUCAUGUUUGUGGA
rnacentral:rRNA from 1 species